UUGAUCCAGAGAUUUCCGAAUGGGGAAACCCAGCAUGAGUUAUGUCAUGUUAUCGAUAUGUGAAUACAUAGCAUAUCAGAAGGCACACCCGGAGAACUGAAACAUCUUAGUACCCGGAGGAAGAGAAAGAAAAUUCGACUCCCUUAGUAGCGGCGAGCGAAAUGGGAAGAGCCCAAACCAACAAGCUUGCUUGUUGGGGUUGUAGGACACUCUAUACGGAGUUACAAAGGACGACAUUAGACGAAUCAUCUGGAAAGAUGAAUCAAAGAAGGUAAUAAUCCUGUAGUCGAAAAUGUUGUCUCUCUUGAGUGGAUCCUGAGUACGACGGAGCACGUGAAAUUCCGUCGGAAUCUGGGAGGACCAUCUCCUAAGGCUAAAUACUCUCUAGUGACCGAUAGUGAACCAGUACCGUGAGGGAAAGGUGAAAAGCACCCCGGAAGGGGAGUGAAAUAGAACCUGAAACCGUGUGCUUACAAGUAGUCAGAGCCCGUUAAUGGGUGAUGGCGUGCCUUUUGUAGAAUGAACCGGCGAGUUACGAUUUGAUGCAAGGUUAAGCAGUAAAUGUGGAGCCGUAGCGAAAGCGAGUCUGAAUAGGGCGUUUAGUAUUUGGUCGUAGACCCGAAACCAGGUGAUCUACCCUUGGUCAGGUUGAAGUUCAGGUAACACUGAAUGGAGGACCGAACCGACUUACGUUGAAAAGUGAGCGGAUGAACUGAGGGUAGCGGAGAAAUUCCAAUCGAACCUGGAGAUAGCUGGUUCUCUCCGAAAUAGCUUUAGGGCUAGCCUCAAGUGAUGAUUAUUGGAGGUAGAGCACUGUUUGGACGAGGGGCCCCUCUCGGGUUACCGAAUUCAGACAAACUCCGAAUGCCAAUUAAUUUAACUUGGGAGUCAGAACAUGGGUGAUAAGGUCCGUGUUCGAAAGGGAAACAGCCCAGACCACCAGCUAAGGUCCCAAAAUAUAUGUUAAGUGGAAAAGGAUGUGGCGUUGCCCAGACAACUAGGAUGUUGGCUUAGAAGCAGCCAUCAUUUAAAGAGUGCGUAAUAGCUCACUAGUCGAGUGACACUGCGCCGAAAAUGUACCGGGGCUAAACAUAUUACCGAAGCUGUGGAUUGUCCUUUGGACAAUGGUAGGAGAGCGUUCUAAGGGCGUUGAAGCAUGAUCGUAAGGACAUGUGGAGCGCUUAGAAGUGAGAAUGCCGGUGUGAGUAGCGAAAGACGGGUGAGAAUCCCGUCCACCGAUUGACUAAGGUUUCCAGAGGAAGGCUCGUCCGCUCUGGGUUAGUCGGGUCCUAAGCUGAGGCCGACAGGCGUAGGCGAUGGAUAACAGGUUGAUAUUCCUGUACCACCUAUAAUCGUUUUA
rnacentral:rRNA from 1 species